rnacentral:rRNA from 1 species
GAUGAACGCUGGCGGCGUGCCUAAUACAUGCAAGUCGAGCGAAUGGAUUAAGGGCUUGCUCUUAUGAAGUUAGCGGCGGACGGGUGAGUAACACGUGGGUAACCUGCCCAUAAGACUGGGAUAACUCCGGGAAACCGGGGCUAAUACCGGAUAACAUUUUGAACCGCAUGGUUCGAUAUUGAAAUGCGGCUUCGGCUGUCACUUAUGGAUGGACCCGCGUCGCAUUAGCUAGUUGGUGAGGUAACGGCUCACCAAGGCAACGAUGCGUAGCCGACCUGAGAGGGUGAUCGGCCACACUGGGACUGAGACACGGCCCAGACUCCUACGGGAGGCAGCAGUAGGGAAUCUUCCGCAAUGGACGAAAGUCUGACGGAGCAACGCCGCGUGAGUGAUGAAGGCUUUCGGGUCGUAAAACUCUGUUGUUAGGGAAGAACAAGUGCUAGUUGAAUAAGCUGGCACCUUGACGGUACCUAACCAGAAAGCCACGGCUAACUACGUGCCAGCCGCCGCAGUAA